rnacentral:rRNA from 1 species
GACGAACGCUGGCGGCGUGCUUAACACAUGCAAGUCGAGCGGUAAGGCCCUUUCGGGGGUACACGAGCGGCGAACGGGUGAGUAACACGUGGGUGACCUGCCCUCAGCUCUGGGAUAAGCCUGGGAAACCGGGUCUAAUACUGGAUAUGACUCCAUGACGCAUGUUGUGGGGUGGAAAGCCUUGUGCGGCUGAGGAUGGGCCCGCGGCCUAUCAGCUUGGUUGGUGGGGUGANGGCCUACCAAGGCGACGACGGGUAGCCGGCCUGAGAGGGCGACCGGCCACACUGGGACUGAGACACGGCCCAGACUCCUACGGGAGGCAGCAGGUGGGGAAUCUUGCGCAAUGGGCGAAAGCCUGACGCAGCGACGCCGCGUGAGGGAUGACGGCCU